UAAUACAUGCAGUCGAGCGGCAGUCGUUGUAGCAAUACAGUGAUGAGAGCGGCGCAGGGGUGCGUAACGCGGUAUGCGACCUACCUCAUACAGGGGGAUAGCCCGGAGAAAUCUGGAUUAAUACCCCAUGGGACAGCACGAGGGCAUCUGACAGCUGUUAAAGAUUCAUCGGUAUGAGAUGGGCAUGCGUCUGAUUAGCUAGUUGGCGGUGUAACGGACCACCAAGGCGACGAUCAGUAGGGGUUCUGAGAGGAAGGUCCCCCACACUGGCACUGACAUACGGGCCAGACUCCUACGGGAGGCAGCAGUAGGGAAUAUUGGGCAAUGGUCGGAAGACUGACCCAGCCAUGCCGCGUGCAGGAAGACGGCCUUCUGGGUUGUAAACUGCUUUUAUCUGGGAAGAAAAAGGCCAUGCGUGGCAAAUUGCCGGUACCAGAUGAAUAAGCACCGGCUAACUCCGUGCCAUCAGC
rnacentral:rRNA from 1 species